rnacentral:rRNA from 1 species
AGCGAACGCUGGCGGCAGGCUUAACACAUGCAAGUCGAGCGCCCCGCCAGGGGAGCGGCAGACGGGAGAGUAACACGUGGGAACAUACCUUUUGGUUCGGAACAACUGAGGGAAACUUCAGCUAAUACCGGAUAAGCCCUUACGGGGAAAGAUUUAUCGCCGAAAGAUUGGCCCGCGUCUGAUUAGCUAGUUGGUGAGGUAACGGCUCACCAAGGCGACGAUCAGUAGCUGGUCUGAGAGGAUGAUCAGCCUCACUGGGACUGAGACACGGCCCAGACUCCUACGGGAGGCAGCAGUGGGGAAUAUUGGACAAUGGGGGCAACCCUGAUCCAGCCAUGCCGCGUGAGUGAUGAAGGCCUUAGGGUUGUAAAGCUCUUUUGCCUGGGAAGAUAAUGACGGUACCGGGAGAAUAAGCCCCGGCUAACUUCGUG